GCCAAGCGCCGAAGCGCUGACUCCGGGCCGCAAAAAAAGGGAACACAGCACGCUGUGGCCGCCCCCGCGACUGUAAGCAGCGAGACCGCAUCCACCCGCGCCACUGGUUUUACCGGGAAGGCCGAUGCGGCCCACGACCUGCGAGCCAGGAGACCUGCCGGCCGAACUGUUCGCACG
rnacentral:ncRNA from 1 species